CUUUCGCUUUGUUGCUGUGGGAAGAAAGCUGGUUGUUGUAUGCACUUUAGGAACCUGCACAUUGAUAAUGAAUAUUCUACUUGGAGGAUUUAUAGUUGCCCAAAAUGACAUUGAGCCAUUUAUGAUAUGGGGCUAUUAUAUUUCUCCAGUGAUGUAUGGACAAAAUGCUUUAGUCAUUAAUGAAUUUCUUGACAAAAGAUGGAGCGCCCCCAAUCCAGACCCCCGAAUUCAUGCACCUACAGUUGCGAAAGUCCUUCUCAAGUCUAGAGGCUUCUUCACG